CUUCCAGUAGCACCUUAGAGACCAACUACCGUAAGUUUGUUAUUGGUAUGAGUUUUGUGCAUGCACAUGAAAGCUCAUACCAAUAACAAACUUAGUUGGUCUCUAAGGUGCUACUGGAAG